rnacentral:rRNA from 1 species
GAUGAACGCUGGCGGCGUGCCUAAUACAUGCCAGUCGAGCGAACGGACGAGAAGCUUGCUUCUCUGAUGUUAGCGGCGGACGGGUGAGUAACACGUGGAUAACCUACCUAUAAGACUGGGAUAACUUCGGGAAACCGGAGCUAAUACCGGAUAAUAUAUUGAACCGCAUGGUUCAAUAGUGAAAGACGGUUUUGCUGUCACUUAUAGAUGGAUCCGCGCCGCAUUAGCUAGUUGGUAAGGUAACGGCUUACCAAGGCGACGAUGCGUAGCCGACCUGAGAGGGUGAUCGGCCACACUGGAACUGAGACACGGUCCAGACUCCUACGGGAGGCAGCAGUAGGGAAUCUUCCGCAAUGGGCGAAAGCCUGACGGAGCAACGCCGCGUGAGUGAUGAAGGUCUUCGGAUCGUAAAACUCUGUUAUUAGGGAAGAACAAAUGUGUAAGUAACUAUGCACGUCUUGACGGUACCUAAUCAGAAAGCCACGGCUAACUACGUG